rnacentral:rRNA from 1 species
UACGUAGGGGGCAAGCGUUGUCCGGAUUUAUUGGGCGUAAAGAGCGUGUAGGCGGCUUGACAGGUCUGCUGUGAAAACUCGAGGCUCAACCUCGAGAUGUCGGCGGAAACCGUCUGGCUAGAGUCCGGGAGAGGAGAGUGGAAUUCCUGGUGUAGCGGUGAAAUGCGCAGAUAUCAGGAAGAACACCUAUGGCGAAGGCAGCUCUCUGGGACGGUACUGACGCUGAGACGCGAAAGCGUGGGGAGCGAACAGG